UACGGAGGGUGCAAGCGUUAUCCGGAUUCACUGGGUUUAAAGGGUGCGUAGGUGGGUCUGUAAGUCCGUGGUGAAAUCUCCAAGCUUAACUUGGAAACUGCCGUGGAUACUAUAGAUCUUGAAUAUUGUGGAGGUAAGCGGAAUAUGUCAUGUAGCGGUGAAAUGCUUAGAUAUGACAUAGAACACCGAUAGCGAAGGCAGCUUGCUACACAAUCAUUGACACUGAGGCACGAAAGCUGGGGAUCAAACAGG
rnacentral:rRNA from 1 species